UAUUGAUGAAAGUCAGUGCACUGGGAAAGGAGUGGAAAGUGUUGUAUCUAUGGCUCAUCAUUAUUUGCAGUUCUAUGGCAUAGGAGAAAAACAUGCACAGAUACAUUUCAAUAAUGCAGCUGGGCAGAACAAAAACAACUAUGUCAUUUGGUAUGCAGUUAUGGAACACUUUAAUAGGACUACAUGAGACUGUUGCAAUGAGUAUUUUGGUGACAGAGCACAGGGAAUUCAACCCAGAUUGGCAUUUUGAUUUAUGGAAAGUGAUGUGGAGAGAUUCUGAUGCAUAAACUAUGACCCAAAUGGCUGACACUGUGAGACAGUCAUAAAAAGGGGGUCACAAUGUUCCACAAGUAGUUGAUAUUCCUGAAACACCUGUUGAUUUUUACAGUUUGAGGCAAUUUCUUGAACAGUAUUUUAA